rnacentral:tRNA from 1 species
GCUUGUUUAGUUUAGUGGUAAAAUACGGUCUUCCCAUGGCCGUGUCGCUGGUUCGAUUCCUGCAACAAGCA